CUUGCCUAUAUAGAAAUAUUAGCUUGUAGUGACAUAUCAGAAAUAUAAUGCCAUUGCUCUUAUUUUUAAUGCUUAUUUAAUAAGUGACCCUUUUUAUUUCAGUUUAUGAUGUCACAAGAAGAGAUACCUUUGUCAAAUUGGAUAAUUGGUUAAAUGAAUUGAAAACAUACUGCACGAGAAAUGACGUAGUAAACAUGCUGGUUGGAAAUAAAAUUGGUAAGGUAAGAAGUCAGACACUUGGCAUUUUGACUGUAUUUUGGUAGCUUUUCUUAAUCCUUAUAUUUACCUUUUAGGAAAAUCGUGAAGUCGAUAGAAACGAAGGCCUGAAAUUUGCACGAAAGCAUUCCAUGUUAUGUAUAGGAUGAAGACAUUGGAUUUGACAAGAUGGAGAAUGCUGGUAUUUUUUAAAAGAAAAGUUUCAACCAGGCAUGCUGGGGUGGCUCAGUCAUUAAGCGUCUGCCUUCGGCUCGGGUCGUGAUCCCAGGGUCCCGGGAUCGAGCCCCGCAUCGGGCUCCCUGCUCGGCGGGAAGCCUGCUUCUCCCUCUCCCACUCCCCCUGCUUGUGUUCCCUCUCUCGCUGUGUCUCUCUCUGUUAAAUAAAUAAAUAAAAUCUUAAAAAAAAAAGAAAGAAAAGUUUCCACGGAGUGGUGAGAACAAAAACCUAGUUAGAGUACAGUUGACCCUUGAACAAUGUGGGGGUAGGGGUCCUGACACCCGCCCCCCCGCAAGUCGGAAAUCUGCGUAUAACUUUUGACUCCCCCAAAACUGAACUGCUAAUUGCCUAUUGACCUGAAGUCUUACUGAUAAAGUCAGUUAACACAUGUUCUGUAUGUUGUGUGUAUUACAUACUGUAUUCUUAUGGUAAAGCUAGAGAAAAGAAAAUGUUAUUAAAAUCAUAAUAGAAAAUACCUUUACGAUACUGUCCUGUGUUUAUUGAAAAAAAGCCAUGUGUAACUGGAACUGCACAGUUCACACUGGUGUUGUUCAAAGGUCACUUAGAGUCUGAAGAGAAAAUGUGAAAUAAGGAAGUGGAAAUGGCUUACAUAGGUUAAGUUUUGAUGACAAUUUUGCUUUGAAAGAGAGGGAGAACCCAGGUGGCUUCUAGAAGAGUGUGUGGGCUGGAAGGCAGGGUGGUUGGUUACUUGGUUGGUUAGUAAGAUGCACAGUAAUUUUGGCAGGCUUUUUAAAGCUGACUGAUGUGAUCCAGUAGUGAG
rnacentral:lncRNA from 1 species